rnacentral:rRNA from 1 species
AGCGAACGCUGGCGGCAGGCCUAACACAUGCAAGUCGAACGAACCUUUCGGGGUUAGUGGCGGACGGGUGAGUAACACGUGGGAACGUGCCUUUAGGUUCGGAAUAACUCAGGGAAACUUGUGCUAAUACCGAAUGUGCCCUUCGGGGGAAAGAUUAAUCGCCUUUAGAGCGGCCCGCGUCUGAUUAGCUAGUUGGUUGAGGUAAUGGCUCACCAAGGCGACGAUCAGUAGCUGGUCUGAGAGGAUGAUCAGCCACAUUGGGACUGAGACACGGCCCAAACUCCUACGGGAGGCAGCAGUGGGGAAUCUUGCGCAAUGGGCGAAAGCCUGACGCAGCCAUGCCGCGUGAAUGAUGAAGGUCUUAGGAUUGAAAGAGUCUUUCACCGGGGACGAUAAUGACGGUACCCGGAGAAGAAGCCCCGGCUGACUUCGUG